rnacentral:tRNA from 2 species
GGGCCUGUAGCUCAGUUGGUUAGAGCAGUCCGCUCAUAACGGAUUGGUCGGGAGUUCAAGUCUCCCCGGGCCCACCA